rnacentral:rRNA from 1 species
GUGGGGAAUAUUGGGCAAUGGGCGAAAGCCUGACCCAGCAACGCCGCGUGAGGGAAGAAGGUCUUCGGAUUGUAAACCUCUGUCCUUAGGGACGAAGAAAGUGACGGUACCUAAGGAGGAAGCCCCGGCUAACUACGUGCCAGCAGCCGCGGUAAUACGUAGGGGGCGAGCGUUGUCCGGAAUUACUGGGCGUAAAGGGAGCGUAGGCUGUUUUCUAAGUCAGGAGUGAAAUACCCGUGCUUAACGCGGGGGCUGCUUUUGAAACUGGAAGACUUGAGUGCAGGAGAGGAAAGUGGAAUUCCUAGUGUAGCGGUGAAAUGCGUAGAUAUUAGGAGGAACACCAGUGGCGAAGGCGACUUUCUGGACUGUAACUGACGCUGAAGCUCGAAAGCGUGGGGAGCAAACAGGAUUAGAUACCCUUGUAGUCC